rnacentral:pre_miRNA from 1 species
UCGGAGUAAAAUAGUGAGAAACCGACAUGGAGAAGUGAUCGACCCUUGGGAUAAGUUUAAAUUUGCUUUUUUUUACUCCAUAAAUUUUUUACGUGGGUAAAAAGAUUCUUCUUGGGGUAUAAAAAAAAUAAAAUUUAAAUUUAGCCCAACGGUUGAUGAUGUAUUUUUCCCAUGAAGGCUGCUCACUAUUUUACCCCAU